CGAACGAGCUGUGAAGUUUUCGGAUGGAUGCACUUAGUGGCGGACGGGUGAGUAACGCGUGGGUACCUGCCUCACACUGGGGGAUAACAGUUAGAAAUAGCUGCUAAUACCGCAUAAGUCCGCAUGGAAAAAACUCCGGUGGUGUGAGAUGGACCCGCGUCUGAUUAGCCAGUUGGCGGGGUAACGGCCCACCAAAGCGACGAUCAGUAGCCGGCCUGAGAGGGUGAACGGCCACAUUGGGACUGAGACACGGCCCAAACUCCUACGGGAGGCAGCAGUGGGGAAUAUUGCACAAUGGGGGAAACCCUGAUGCAGCGACGCCGCGUGAGUGAAGAAGUAUUUCGGUAUGUAAAGCUCUAUCAGCAGGGAAGAAGUGACGGUACCUGAAUAAGAAGCCCCGGCUAACUACGUGCCAGCAGCCGCGGUAAUACGUAGGGGGCAAGCGUUAUCCGGAUUUACUGGGUGUAAAGGGAGCGUAGACGGCAAGGCAAGUCUGAAGUGAAAGCCCGGUGCUUAACGCCGGGACUGCUUUGGAAACUGUUUGGCUGGAGUGCCGGAGAGGUAAGCGGAAUUCCUAGUGUAGCGGUGAAAUGCGUAGAUAUUAGGAAGA
rnacentral:rRNA from 1 species